rnacentral:lncRNA from 1 species
UGCAAAAAUUUAACUAAACCACAUGUCUUGAAUCAGAAAUAAAUAAUAAUGGGUUUCAUCUUCAUCCAAUAAAUGAGAAAAAUUAGCCUAACAUAAGAUUGAAUUUAAACACAAAAUUGGAAAGACAUCACUGGAAAUUUAACGAGCGCGAUUAAUUCUCCAAUUAAAGUUGCAGUUUUCUGUCCUUUUUCUUCCAAUUUGCUGCCAGCUUUUGCGUGUAACUCCUCCAUGUGCGUGCAUGUUUGUAUAUAAAUUAAUUCCAGUUGGCAGCCCAAACGUUCUCUGCUUCAAUUACAGCUUGUGUUUGUUGUAUAUAUAAAUAAAAUUAGCAGCCAAAUUCUCCUCUAAAGCAACUCUAAUCCUCUUCCAAAGUUAGCCGUCAAUAUGUGCUUAUAUAUUUCAGCAGCAGGCCCCUUUUUUUCUCUCCUUCCUGCCUUGGUUUUCUACGUGAAUGUAUAUAAUUUUGCCCCCACAGUUGCCCCAAAUUCUGUGCCUGUGUAUAUUAUAUAUAAUCACAGCACCCAAGGCAAAUCUAAUGUUUCUCCAAGUUGACUUUUUUGUCUAUAUCUCCAAAUUCUCUUUCUGCCCUUUUUUUGUAGGUUUUCUUUUUCUCCCCCUUCCGUUUCUGCCGGCCUACAUGUAUAUAUAUAUAAUUAAAGUGGGCUAUUUUUUUAUUUCACCAAAGCAACACUUGUUGUUUUGUAUGAGAUGAAUUACAAAGUUGUCAUAAUGGUUGACUUCAAAUCCACUUCCCUUCCUGUUGGCAAUCAUUUCUUGUGUAUAUAUAUCUUUUUCAGCCCAAUUGUAAUCCACUUUGGAGUCCAAUUCACAAAAUAAUAGGUCCAGCCUUUUGUCUCUUUAUUCCAACAAUUUGAUUGCAUUUUUAUCCAAUUUUCGUACUUCUUUCUCUUCAAUUGCUUCCAAUGAGUCAUUUACUAAAAACAAAAGAAAAUUAACUUAAAUUAAAUAAAAAUUAAUAAUUUAACGACUUAAAAGUUUAAUAAUGUGGUAUAAAUAAAUAUACAAAUUGCGUUUAUCAAAUACCCCUGAACUUAAACAUUUGUUCGUGCUCGAACAAAACUAUAACUUAAAUAACAACAAACACACAAGCAUGCAAAAAUAUUUGAUUGGGCAGUUUAGCUUUUUACCUUUGGAUUUGACAUCACCGUAUUAAAUUCAUAAGCCACUUCAAAAUCACUAUAACAAAUUAAUAUCUACUUUUUCAAUACAAAACUAACGUGUGUGUGUGAAGAACUAAGUUGACAUUAAUGAAUUCACAAGAUGUUUCAAUUCUCAACCCUGUAUGGUCAAAUAUAUCCUUUCAUCUCUCGUAAGAUUUACACACACCCAAACUUAUUCUUUUUCACUCUUUUCUUAGCGUGUGAUCUAAGUUUGAAUUUUUUAUUACUAUCCUCACCCUCUCCAAUUCAGGUGGACGGUACUAGUUUUAAGUCAACACAUCAAUGAAUAAUGAUUCUCCAAUUAAUUGAUUGCUUCGAUCGUCAAAACUCAAUUGAGCUAAUUAUCCUUCAUCAAAAGUCAAAUUCACUCGAACAAGUGUUGGGACUUAACAAGGCAAUAUGUGCUUUUGCUUCUUCUUUUUUUAAUGCACUUGUUUUUUUUUUUUUUUAAUUUUUAAAAUUUUUUUGUCUCCUCCUUAAGCUUUCUAAAUGGUCCAUGUAACAGGCUUUACGCCGAUAUCUCCCAAGUUAGAUGACUUUAGGGCACCAGGUUUUAAAAUACCCUUACAGACUUAAUAUCCCAAGUAAAAAAGGCUUCGAAAAGAACAAUUUUUUUUUUGGGUGCAACUUCAUCCCCGAUUACUUUCUAAAUGACCCUUGUAACGAGUUUUAGGCCGAUGACUCCCAAGUCAAAUGACUUUAGGGCACCAGAUUUUAAGAUACCCUUGCAUGUUUGAUUACUCGAGUCAUAAAUGCUUCAAAAAGAAGUUUUAAAUUUUAAAAUAUAUGCAUUGACUAGUGCAACGUCCCUUAUCACACAUCUAUUCAAGCAAACCGACCUCCAAUUUACGACAUUUACCCAAUUUUAUCAUGUUAAUUUAAGACAAUCCACACAAACUUUUUCAUACAAGAAAUCCACAUUCACAUUCGUAUCUUCCUACAAUAGUAAGAUCUCCCCAAAUUGUACUAAAUUUGGUCUAAGGAUAAUAAUAAGUAUGAUUUAGGUAAAGCAUCUAUGUCCAACUAAACAAUCUAUCACGUGUAUGAAUCAACUCAUUUAGGUAAAGCAUCUAUGUCCAACUAAACAAUCUAUCACGUGUAUGAAUCAACUCAUUUCAUAACAAUGUCAGCUCAGUUGUUGUGCGCAUAUAAUAUCAACUUUUGCAAAUUUAAGUUUCAAUCAAUUUAGCAUGCUUCCUAUCCACAGUUCAUAAAUCAAUACCAAAUCUCAAAUUUAGUCAUCAUUGUCAGUCAAAUUGUCUAACCCACACAAGCACACAAUCAAAAAUAAAAUAAAAUAAAUUAACGAUUUUUUUUUUUAAAUGAAAACCAAGAAUUCAAAGUUUUUCCCACCCCCCAAAUUUCAACCCGACAUUGUCCUCAAUGUCUUAAAGCAUAAUUAAGAAUGUAAGGGGACAAGAAAAAAAAGGACGAAAGUAUUCCCCGAAUUUUCCUGUUGAAUAUGGAAAGGACUAUGGGUGAUGGCCAAACAAUUUUCCUCAUCAUGUUUUUCCUUGAUUUAUGUUGGUUUGAGUGUUCCAAGACAUCACGUUCCUACAUAUGGCAAUCAAAUCAAGCAUUAUAGAUCAAAUAAUCUAGAACAUGUGUUACUUAGCCCAAACACUCGAAGUAACCAACAUUAAAUUUAAAGGUCUCAGUGAAAACAUGAUCGAAUGAUGAUACCCUUUAAAUUUAGACAUGCCUAAAUCUAAUGCAAACUAAUAAUUAAAACAAGUCUAUAUGCAAUACGAUGCAGAAAACAAAAUAAAUAAAUAAUAAUGAAAUUGGGUUGCCUCCCAAUAAGCGCUUAAUUUAUAGUUUUUAGCUAGACUUUGUUUUUUUGACUAUUCAUGGUGGCUUGAAAAGAGAAUUUUCAGCUCUGCAUUUUAUGCACUGAUUGCAUUUCCUUUUUUCAUCUUUCACCCUCUACACAAUUAAGAUUCCAUUGUUAUCUCUACCAACAAUUCCACAUUCAUUUGGCCUGCCUUUGUAGCUCUCCCAAUAAUCAACUCGUUGACAAUCCUCAAAAUAUGAUGGUUGCUUGAUUGGAUUUUCCAUGAUGAAGCUCUAUUGCUUAUCCUCCAUCCUUAAGAUAAUCUCGUUAGCAUUAAAAUCUAGCAAGGCUUGGCUUGUUGACAAGAAUGGCAUUCCCAGAAUUAUUGGCAUCUGAUAUGCCUCUUCAAUGUCAAGGAUGAUGAAGUCAGCUGGAAAAAUAAACUCCCCUGCCUUGAUAAGCAUGUCUUCAACUAUUCUGUAAGGGUGUUUUUGUGAUCGGUCCGCCAGCUAAAGGAUAAUAGAUGCCGCCUUAAGAUCUCUUAAUCCCAGUUUUCUGUAAAGAGGUAAGGGAAUUAAAUUAAUAUUCUCUCCUGAAUCAAUUAAACAAUUUAUAUCAUUUAAAUUUCCUAUGGAACAAGGUACAAUGAAACUCCAUGGAUCUUUAAGUUUGGGAGAGAUCCUAUGCUGGAUGAUUGCACUGCACUCUUUAGAGAGUGCUAUUGUUUCAUGUUCUGGCGACUUUCUCUUCUUAGUCAACAUCUCCUUAAAAAAAUUAGCAUAAUUUGGAAUUUGUAGAAUACCAUCAAUAAAAGGAAUGUUGAUGUGAAGUUGUUCGAGGGUGUUCAAGAAAUUUUUGAAUUGUUUGUCUAGUUUAUUAUUCUACAACCAUUGAGGGAAUGGAACUAAAGGUGUGUGUUUAUUGCUAAAAAUAGUUGUCUUGACAUGUGGAUUAUUUGACUGUUCUUCUUGAUUAACUUUUGAUGAUUUUUCAGACUGACCCACUUGUUCUUCCCUCGAGGUAGGUACUUGAUUCUCCUCAGUCUUCUUCUUCUUCUUCACUGUGAUUUCUGGUAGCUGAACAUCGCUUCUUAUUGUGAUAGCGAGGACUUGUUCCUUUUUAGGUUGUCUUUGAAGCCUUUGAGGGAAUGGGAUAGAUGGCACAUAAGCUCGAACAGAUAUAGCAGGCUUAAUCGACGGCGUUAUGAUAGUUGCAUAAUUCACAUCUUCAAUUGUUAAUACCUGCUCCUUUGGGUUCUUUUCUGUAUCGCUCGGUAGAGUACUUUGUGCUCUGUUACCUAAUGUAGCUACUAUCUGUCCCACCUAUUUCUCUAAGUUAUGUAUAGAAGCUUGUUGAUUCUAUAUCACCAUCUCAGUCUUGGUGACGUACUUGACAAGUAGAUCCUCCAAUGAUUGCUUUUUUUCUUCUUGUUGCUGAAUCAUUGGUAGAUUACCCCUCAUCUGAUUUACUUGAUUUGAAUUAUCAACCAGCGUAGUUAGGAUGCUUGUUCAAACUCAGAUGGUAGUUGUAUGGGUAAGGUCCAUUUUAACUAUGAUAGUUUUGUGCAUAAUUGACUUCUACUAGCUGACCUAUGUGAGUAGAAGCCAAAGUGCAACUUGCAAUAAUGUGAUUUGCCCCCACAACCUAUGCAUUUCGAAGCUAGAGUUUGUACUAUAUUCACAAAAUGGGUCAAAGAGUCAAGCUUUCUAGUUAUUGCCUCCAUCCGUGCUGUCAACACUAUCGCUGCAUCCACAUUAUAUAUACCAGUUGUUUUCCUCAGGACUUCCCUGUUGCACGGCCACAUUGAUUGAUUUUCUGCUAUUGUCUCAUACAGCUCAUAAGCAUCAUCCACAUUUAUAGCCAUUAUUGAUCCUCUCGCUGAAGCAUCUACCAUAUUCUUGAAAUCUUAGCGUAUUCCACAGUAAAAGAUGUAUAUUUGUGCUUGUUUAGGAAUGUCAAGAUUGGGGCACUUCCUCAAUAAGUUCUUAUACCUUUCUCAUGUCUCUGGAUAGCUCUCAAUAUCUUUCUGCUUAAUGGUAUGGAUUUUAUUCCGAAUUUGAUGAACUCGAGUUGGCGGAAAAAACUUCAUGGUAAAUUUUUGAAUCAUGUCAUUCCAUGAUAUAAUGCUCCCAAGAGGCUGUGACAUCAUCCAUAUUUUAUCACCUUUAGUUUGUGACAUCAUCCAUAUUUUCGCACCUUCCUUCAAAGUAUGAGGAUAUAGACACAUUCGAAAUGCAACCUAUGGCAUCCCCUCAUGGCUAAUUACAUCACAUAGCAUGGUAAAAGCUUGAAUGUGUUCAUGUGGAUUUUUUGUAGCUUUCCCGCUAAAUCUGAUGUCUUGAUGAUUUUGAAAGAGGUUUAUGACAUCUGGUCGAAUGUGGAAGUUAGCUUCUCCAACGGGCAGGUAGAUGAUCGGAGGUUGAAUCAGUGCUAGCACUGAAUUUUCAAAAUCUCUCACUAAAACUUCUCCAUGAUUUGCUACUGCCCUUGGCUAAUCAGGCUGAAUUGGCUGAGGUAGUGGCAAAGGGUUCUGAGCUUGAUUUUGAUGUUGGUUUUCUGCUAUAUAUCUUACUUGACUCUGCUCGAUUCUUCGCUGUCUUAAAGUUCUUUUGAUUUCGGGAUUUAUUGGAAGAAGCUUGAUCUCGUCAGAAUUUUGCAUAAACUAAGAUUUCUUGAAAAGAGUAAAACAAGAUAUAUAGAUCGUUCAAUGAAUAGCCUUAAACAAAUAAAGUAAAAAAAUGAAAAAAGGAAUAAAAACUUCAAAUCUAAAAAUAACUAGUAAACUCAAAUUAAAUAAAUUAUUCCCCGGUAACGGCGCCAAAAACAUGUUCGAGUGAAACUUGCAAGUGUACAGGAUCGUUGACAAAUAAUAGAUUUAGUGAGUUAGAGUAUCAUCCUACGAGGAAUAAAAUUUAAUUGAGUGUACUAGUCCUUAAAUAGAUGCAAACCGAACAAAUUAAAAGUGAUUUUUGUGAUUUUUAAUUAUUCUAAUUUAAUCUACGAAAAUAUAUAAAAUGUGAAUUUAAAAUGUAAAUGGGAAGAGUGUAUUGGAUUACAAAUCCACCUAUUAUUAUUUGGUCCAAUUCCUAACUACGUAGCUAGUUUCGUUCUUGCAUUCUUGACAAUCGAUAAUUCUGUUGUGAUUAAUUUUCUUUUCCAAGACAAAUUAAAUAUAUCCUAUUCAUGACCCGAUCCUAUUCCUAGUCCGAAUUCAUAUGAAUAAAACGCAUUCAAUUUCACGAUUAUCUCAAAGAUUGUAACGUGAUAAAUCUUAUUCCUAAAAUUUAUUGUACCUUCCAACACUACAACGAGCAACUAUAUAUUUAAUUGGUGAUCAGGCAAUCAAAUAAUAAAUUAAGCAUGCAAGAUUAAUCAACAAUUGCAAGAAUUUAACUAAACCACAUGUCUUGAAUUAAAAAUAAAUAAUAACGGGUUUCAUUUUCAUCCAAUAAAUGAGAAAAAUUAGCCUAACAUAAGAUUGGAAUUAAAACAUAAAAUUGGAAAGACAUCACCCGAAAUUUAGCGAGCGCGAUUAAUUCUCCAAUUAAUGUUGCUAUUUUCUGUCCUUUUUCUUCCAAUUUGCAGUCGGCUUUUGCGUGUAACUCCUCCCCGUGCGUGUAUGUUUGUAUAUAAAUUAUUUCCAGUUGGCAGCCCAAAUGUUCUCUGCUUCAAUUACAGCUUGUGUUUGCUGUAUAUAUAACUAAAAUCAACUGCCAAAUUCUCCUCAAAAGCAACUCUAAUCCUUCUCCAAAUUCAGCCGUCAAUAUGUGUUUAUAUAUUUCAACAACUGGCCCCUUCUUUUCUCUCCUCCCUACCUUGGUUUUCUACGUGAAUCUCUAUAAUUUUG